GCACAAGCACCUCUCACAUGAGGGUCCUUGCACGAGGGUCCUUGCACGAGGGUCCUUGCACAAGCACCUCUCACAUGAGCAUCCUUGCACAAGGGUCCUUGCAUGAGGGUCCUUGCACAAGCACCUCUUGCACGAGGGCCCUUGCAUGAGGGUCCUUGCACGAGGGUCCUUGCACAAGCACCUCUUGCACGAGGGUCCUUGCAUGAGGGUCCUUGCAUGAGGAUCCUUGCACAAGCACCUCUCGCACGAGGGUCCUUGCACAAGGGUCCUUGCACGAGGGUCCCCGCACAAGCACCUCUCACAUGAGGGUCCUUGCACGAGGGUCCUUGCACGAGGGUCCUUGCACAAGCACCUCUCACAUGAGCAUCCUUGCACAAGGGCCCUUGCAUGAGGGUCCUUGCACGAGGGUCCUUGCACAAGCACCUCUUGCACGAGGGUCCUUGCACGAGGGUCCUUGCACAAGGGUCCCCGCAUGAGCACCCUUGCACUAGACGCCCUUGCACAAGGGUCCUCGCGUGGGCACCCUUUGCACGAGCACCCCCCCGGGGUGAGCACCCCCUCGCACGGGCCUCCCUCGCGCUGCACCCCUUAGGCGAGCAGCCCUCGCGCGAGCAGCCCUCGCGCAGGCACGCCUCGCACGAGCACCGCUGCACGGGGCCGCCCUUGCACGGGCGCCUUUGCACGAGCAGCCCCGGCGCCGGCGCCCCCGGCACGCGCUCCCUUUUGCACCCCAGCCCCGUCGGCACAAACCCCUCGCGCGCGGGCCCCCGUUGCACACGCGACGCCUUUGCGCGUGCCCCGCUUUGCCCCCCCACCCCGGCGCCCACCCCGGCGCCUGAGCCCGCUCUCGCCCGCAGGCACCACGGAGCGCGUGUGCCUGGUGCAGGGCACGGCCGAGGCCCUCAAUGCCGUGCACAGCUUCAUCGCCGAGAAGGUGCGCGAGAUCCCGCAGGCCGCCGCCAAGCCCGAGGCCGCCGGCGUCCUCCAGCCGCAGACCACCAUGAACCCCGACCGGGCCAAGCAGGUGGGCGCGCGCGCCGGCCCCGCUCCCCUCGCACGGGGGCCCGGCACAGCCCCUCGUGGGGGGCCGCUGCACGGUGCCGGGACGAGGCAGCACCUUUUGCAAAGUGGCUGCAGCACGGCGCUUUGCACGGGGUGGUGCAUUGCUCCAGCCUUGCACGGGAUGGUGCACAGCACCUUGCACAGGAUGGUGCAUUGCUCCAGCCCUUGCACAGGAUGGUGCACAGCACCUUGCACAGGGUGGUGCAUUGCUCCAGCCUUGCACAGGGUGGUGCACAGCUCCUUGCACAGGGUGGUGCAUUGCUCCAGCCCUUGCAUAGGAUGGUGCACAGCACCUUGCACAGGAUGGUGCAUUGCUCCAGCCCUUGCACAGCUCCAUUCCCGGUCCCAGUCCCAUUCCCAGGGCCGUUCCCGGGACUGCUGCCAUUUCUGGGGCCUUUCCCAGAGCCAGGGCUGUUCCUGGUGCCCGUGCCAGUCCUACUCCUGUUCCCGGUGCCAUUCCCCUUCCCGGUGCUGGUGCCGGUCCCAGCUCUGUUCCCAGUGUUGGUCCCCGUCCUGGUGCCGUUCCCGGUCCCAUUCCCGGUCCCAUUCCCGGUGCCGGUGCCGGUCCCAGCUCCAUUCCCGGUGUUGGUCCCCGUCCUGGUG
ensembl:lncRNA